GUGGGGAAUAUUGGACAAUGGGCGCAAGCCUGAUCCAGCCAUGCCGCGUGCAGGAAGACGCAUCUAUGGUGUGUAAACUGCUUUUGUACGGGAAGAAACACUCCCUCGUGAGGGAGCUUGACGGUACCGUAAGAAUAAGGAUCGGCUAACUCCGUGCCAGCAGCCGCGGUAAUACGGAGGAUCCAAGCGUUAUCCGGAAUCAUUGGGUUUAAAGGGUCCGUAGGCGGUUGAAUAAGUCAGUGGUGAAAGCCCAUCGCUCAACGAUGGAACGGCCAUUGAUACUGUUAGACUUGAAUUACAAGGAAGUAACUAGAAUAUGUAGUGUAGCGGUGAAAUGCUUAGAUAUUACAUGGAAUACCAAUUGCGAAGGCAGGUUACUACUUGUGGAUUGACGCUGAUGGACGAAAGCGUGGGGAGCGAACAGGAUUAGAAACCCUUGUAGUCC
rnacentral:rRNA from 1 species